GGAUCGAUGAUGACUUCAAAAAUAGAUCUCCUUGGAAUCUGAACAAAAUGAGUGACAGGAUCACUUAUGUGAGCUGAGGUCC
ensembl:snoRNA SNORD116 Small nucleolar RNA SNORD116